CUGGAUGGCUGCUGUGGGUUGGGGUCUUCCUGCCUGUCAUUCUGCUGCUGAUACAGAUCAUUGUUUACCUGAACUGGAAGCUGAAGUAGAGGCAGGGUUGUCUUCAGCACCUUACCCCAGGGACAUGGCCUCCAGCCUGAGCUACACAACCACAUCACCCAGGCAGAGACGACAGGAUGUACACCUGAGAAAGGGAACUGUGGAUGGCCCCAUACUGGAUAUUGCCCUGCUGGGUACAGUACAGCGCUCUGAGAACUCACAGGACAUGCAGGCACAAUAGUGUUACAGGGAGAGCACAGGGGAUGGAGAUGCUGAAUACAAUUACUAUCCACCGCCAGAUCAUGGAUAAAACACCAGCUAAGACAGAGUGAAGCAACAGCCUGCAUAGGAUAAUAAUAUGGAAUUCCAAAUCACUGUUUAUAAACUGUUGGAAUGCAGAGACAAUGUGCAUAUUUUAUUACUAAAAUCAUUGUUUAUUGUACCAUCAGUAUUCAAUUAUUUCUAAGAAUUAUUCAAGUUCUUUUCGGACUAUUGCCUAUGGUUGAUAGGUCACAGAACCCAGAAGUCAACAAUGAGCUUCUGUAAAAAGAUCUGAGCCUUCUCUAAAGCAAUGAAAACUUUUCUGAGGAUGUUCUGUUUUUUUGUGGUUCAACAGGAAAGCAAGAAGUCAAAGAUGUUUGGCUGCUGAAGGGUGUUGUGUAAAAAGGAACCAAAGUCAUCCAAUUAGAGAAUAACAAAUGUUUAUUUCAGUGUUACACAGAGGGGUAGGUGGCUGUGGUGGAGAGGGGGAAAACAAUUUUCAAGCUGCUGAAAAUCUGAGAUGAUCUGCUAUACACAUGGUCCAAAGAGCUAAUUGAUGCCGUCAUUGGGUUUGGUCAGACUGUAGAGAGCACUAGGCAUGAGGCAGCAAUCUCUUUUAUCUACAGGAAAAUAUUAAAAUGGUGGCAAUUGUGUUUCUUUUAGCAGUCAAACCUCUGAAAUAUAUUAAAAAUAUUUAAAAAAGGGGCAAACACACCUCAACAUCUACAGUAAAUCAGUUUACAGAUAAAUACAAAAAAAGUUUAAAAGACAAAAAACUGUUCUACAAAUAUAUUUAUGAUUAAUGAUGCCAGAAAGUCACAGAAAACAAAAAGUUCCAAGCUUUUUAUUUUUGACAGUUUUUUUUCUGAGGGAGGUAUUGGAAAAGCACCUGCACUUUAAUGGAAUGCUUCAGUUUUGACACUAUAUUGCAAUGUACAAAAUGACACAGUGCGUCACCCUUUGCUGGUCCCUUGGAAACUCACCCA